GCGGCGGACGGGUGAGUAACACGUGGGUAACCUGCCUGUAAGACUGGGAUAACUCCGGGAAACCGGGGCUAAUACCGGAUGGUUGUUUGAACCGCAUGGUUCAAACAUAAAAGGUGGCUUCGGCUACCACUUACAGAUGGACCCGCGGCGCAUUAUCUAGUUGGUGAGGUAACGGCUCACCAAGGCGACGAUGCGUAUCCGACCUGAGAGGGUGAUCGGCCACACUGGGACUGAGACACGGCCCAGACUCCUACGGGAGGCAGCAGUAGGGAAUCUUCCGCAAUGGACGAAAGUCUGACGGAGCAACGCCGCGUGAGUGAUGAAGGUUUUCGGAUCGUAAAGCUCUGUUGUUAGGGAAAAACAAGUACCGUUCGAAUAGGGCGGUACCUUGACGGUACCUAACCAGAAAGCCACGGCUAACUACGUGCCAGCAGCCGCGGUAAUACGUAGGUGGCAAGCGUUGUCCGGAAUUAUUGGGCGUAAAGGGCUCGCAGGCGGUUUCUUAAGUCUGAUGUGAAAGCCCCCGGCUCAACCGGGGAGGGUCAUUGGAAAACUGGGGAACUUGAGUGCAGAAGAGGGAGAGUGGAAUUCCACGUGUAGCGGUGAAAUGCGUAGAGAUGUGGAGGAACACCAGUGGCGAAGGCGACUCUCUGGUCUGUAACUGACGCUGAGGAGCGAAAGCGUGGGGAGCGAACAGGAUUAGAUACCCUGGUAGUCCACGCCGUAAACGAUGAGUGCUAAGUGUUAGGGGGUUUCCGCCCCUUAGUGCUGCAGCUAACGCAUUAAGCACUCCGCCUGGGGAGUACGGUCGCAAGACUGAAACUCAAAGGAAUUGACGGGGGCCCGCACAAGCGGUGGAGCAUGUGGUUUAAUUCGUAAGCAACGCGAAGAACCUUACCAGGUCUU
rnacentral:rRNA from 1 species